AACGGCCGUACCAUGCUGAAUAUACCGGUUCUCGUUAGAUCACCGAAGUCAAGCAUCAUUGGGCGCGGUCAGUACUUGGGUGGGUGACCACCUGGGAACACCGCGUGCUGUU